CCAAUCCCCGUGUCCGUCCUCUCUCCCCAAUCGUCGCCUCGCCUCGCUCAUGCCUCUUCCUCUUUGCCCAUUUCUCCUCCCCCGCUCGCCGUCCUCGCGCCGCCUCUCCUCCAUGGCCGCCAUGGCGCCGUUGUAUCUCCUCCUCGGGCCAGCAGGAGCGAGUUUUACAUGGAGGUCGCGAGCUCGCCGCCUGUCGGUCCAGCUUGAGCCGGCCCUCCCUCGACCCCGCACAGGCGGCGGCCGUCCGUGCGCACGACAGCCUCUUCCUCCAACGGCCGUCGACCUCCCUCUCUCCCCGACCUGCACCUCCACGCUCCUCCCCCGCUCGUCGUCCUCCCGCCGCGCCACUGCCUCCGAAGAAAUUGCUGUGUGCAAGGCACAGAUGGAGUGGCACGCUCGUCAUCUUCAUGGGAACACCACUUCUCCUCUUCUUCCUCUGCUCUGGAGCAGUCGGCCGCACGGUAGCCGCCACGAGCUUCUACCGCGCUUCGUCGUCCUCCGCCUCGAUCUGGAACACCGACGGCCGGGUGAGACCACCACCUCACACAAUCUCUGUCUCAAACCAAAUCUGGCGGCAGUGGAAAAUCAUGGCAUGGUAGGCGGCCGUGGUGUGGGAUUGAGGUCAACAAUGGCGGCAGCAGCUGGCGGACGACGGAGGCUGUAUCGCUAACAGAUGCAGAAGAUAUGUGGAGGCGGUACGGUCGCCCGAUCUGCUUAUGGCGAAGAAGAUCAAGGGGCGGGCCAGCUAGGAGGUGGACAAAUGCGAGGCCCCCACGGCUGUAUGCUCAUCGGCCUGGCGGCAUCACCAUGAGGACAGAUGCGUAGAGGUUGAUGUGCAGCCAGGCCACCGUGCUGGCACAUCCAUCCUCACUGCCCAGGCCAGAUAAGGCUGAGAGUUCCCACCCAGGCUAGCAGGAACUUAAUCUUACUCGAGACGUCAGUCUUGCUAUUCCAUGGAUGAACUCAGUUCCUAAUGGUGCUAAAUAUACCAUUCUUUCUACUAUGUAGUUUGCAACUUAUUUUCGCUCCACUGCCUCAUCAAGGUAAUACACUAGAGUAAACUGCAGGAAGUGCUGGUUGAUAUUUUCUAUAAAAGUUUACUGGUUAAUAAUAGCUACAAUGGAGUGGAGGAAUAAGCUUCAUAGUAUGAAGAAAAAUUGCUAUUGUAGAUGCCAGCGCUGCUCCUGGCCAGAUUGUCCAUUAUAUGGAGCGUAGGAGAGAUUAAAUAGAUUGUAGGUAUGGUGUCAGUACCAAAUAAAUCCUUGAAGUAGUCUGCGAGCAUGCAUUUUGAAAUUUUGGAUCAAAUUGACUUUCAUGUUUCGAGGAGGUUAUACAGAUCUUUUCUAUUUUACUACUCCAUGUUAGGAACGGCAUUUUUUUUUACAUUUCUGCAUGGAUAGGAUUUAUAUGUUUUCCAUUGUUUCUCCUGGAUACAUGCUCAAUCUCUAAUACUGCACGAUCUAAUCAUCCUGCCUUCCAGAGUUCAGCAAAAUUAUGAUCCCUAGACUUGAAAUAUUUGCCUAUAAACUUGAUGUUUAAGUUAAUUCCUUGUAGAGUUCAUAUCUUUUCUUCAAAGCUUUUCAGUGAUUUAAAAGUGGUGGUGCUGAAAUAAUUAAGCUAGCUUCAUAGAGUACUUGAGUGACACAGGUUUUUAUUUACAUAUGGUUUCUUUCUUGUACAGAAAAACUUAUCCAAGUCCACAUUAUUUUGCUGAACCAUCAAAAUAAUCUGUAAUUGUAACCACAAAUUCCAUUUUGCUACAUUCAUUUAUAAUAGUAUGUAUGCUCGUUCCUUAUAUGAUGCAAAAAAAAAAACUACCUGGAAAUCAGCGCCAUAUGUGCCAGAACACCCAAGCUGUGAUUCUGUCAUAACAAUUAAUUGUGCAACAUUUAUAUUUUUUUUUGCAGAUGUUUUAAUCUGUACUCCAACUGGUUAGUCCUCAUCUUGCUUACUGCUAUUGCUAACUAUGUAUAACAGGCAUUACAUGUAUACAAUUCGGCGAACUAACUUGCAUGUAUAGUUUGAUUUUUUGCCAUGUGUACACAUUAAGUUAAUCCAGUAUCUAAUUCCUUUUUAUUAGAGAACAACUUGAGUGUGUCCUAAUUUUUUAGUCCUCUUCUUUCUUGUUCCAGGGAACAACCAGAAAGUGCAGGUUUUUAUGCAGCAUAUAAUUGACAAGUACUGUGAAAAUGUCGUCGCAAGGGCAUGGGGUCAAUAAUUGUCUUCCAGCAUGACUUAAAAAAGUCUUAAUGUGAUCAUAGGUUAUGUUCGAGCGUCACUAAAUUGAUGCCUCAAGCGCCAGGUGAAUAGCUUGCUUGGAGCUCGAGGAUGAUCAUCAGCAGCCUGGAAUGUGUACUAUGGAUGUUGGAUCAGUUACAUGUCAUACGUUGCCCCACUACAGCCUGCAGGAGCAUCACACGUCAGGCCAAAAGUCAGGUCUUUUGUCUACUCUUCGUCCCGUCAUUGCUUCCAUAGGGUAGGCCAUCGUGUCCGGUAUCUCUAUCCACCUUGGCAGGUUCUCCAUUGAUAUGUUCGUUCGAUUAAUUUUCUGUCUCUUUGGGGUUACAAGAGGUCAUGUUAGGCGUGUACAAAACCUAAUGUUAAGAGUACACUAAUGAGAUCGCUAAAAUAUGACCACUAUGAUUUAUUUGGUUGUGUAUAUGUGUUGCCUGCACUUCUUCUCCAGCUCACAGGAGGAUAUUUUCUGAAAUCUGUAUGCUGUUUCAUUUAGAUUGCAUCUUCUAAACAUAGUUGAAGCCUUUGAGUUAAACUAAUAUGCUCAUGACAGGCAUAUUAUUGUGUUUUGUUUGAUUUAUGCUAGGUUCAUUCAUGAGAUCCAGUUCACAAGGUACGUUGCCUAAACAAAUAUAUGGUGACCAUGGCUGUGUGGGGAAUCUGAACAAAUAUUUCUCUGCUUCACACCUUUGUUUCUGUAAUAAAAAUAACUUUUGUGUAGCAAGUAUAUUUUCCUUGCAUAUUGUUUAGAUAGUCCUGACCACUGACUGUGCAAUUGACCACUUACACAAGUUAGGUUGUUCAGUAAAAAAUGUAGCGAUGCCCUUGCAGCCAAAUAUUUAUUUCAGUAAAUGAUGCCUAAUUUAUGAUGUUUAUGUUUUGUAGAAGGAAUAUAGAUGGGUAAUUGACAUGUGUUUUGGAUCUUGAUUCCUGUAUACUACUGCCUACCAAUGUGCUUGUCUUUGUUUGCUAUAAUAUCGUUUCUUUUUACUGUAACUACAAGGGAAUUUAUAGGUGUGUUUGAUGUUCUAUCUUGGAUUAUAAUUAGGUGAGUAGCUUCAGAUGGCAUGUUUUUCAAUCUUUUGUUUUCUAAAUAUUACAUGGCUGGUCAAUUGUUCAUGUGCACACAACAGGGUCUUCCGGGCCAAGCUUUUUGAUUAGUUUCUAAUCGUUUUUGCACAUGUGCUACGUUUUUUGAUAGUUUUAUGGUUUGACCCGCCAAUGAUCUUUGUUAGCAGCCGAUAAAAGACCACAAUUUGUUUCCUUAUAAACAUUGUUUUGCUGUCUAAAAUUCAGCCUUCUUGGUACAUUGGCUGGCGAUGCAAGUCUCGUGUAAAAUGUUUGUAGGUUCUGACCGCUGCCACAGAAAGCUCAGGCUAAUGGACCGCCCAAGGAGGCAGCGUAAAUCUGGAGCAGCUUUGUGCGACUCCCAUGGCUAAAGAGAAAGAAAUCACUAUUACAAAUGUAAAUCUCCUCCAUUUUUCAUACAUAUCUUAGCUUUACAUUUACCAAAAGGUUUACUCCUAUUUGCAACAAAAAAAACAUAAGUGCGCUGGUGCAAAAUUACUCGCUCCAUUUGAUGCAUCUGGUCCUACCCUGAUAUUAUGAGGUAUUGUGAAGAAGGUUGGCUAAACUUGAAACCUGAACAUGCAAUGAAUUACUACAGCAUCGCUUCCCACCUGGUCCAUUCAAAGUUGUACUUACCCACCUGUGCACACUGAUUUUCCUACAAUACUUGCAUGCAAUGAUUUGUUAAUUAUUUAUGCUAUAAUGAUGAAAUCUGUUUCACAGGCAUGGAUACAUAGCCUUCUGUUGCUCUACAUGUGAAUAUAAUCCAUCAGAACUACUUCCUUGGCCAAUAUCAUUUGUUGCCUGCAGGACUGUGUUAUUAAACUUGAAUAAAAUUCCCAUAUUGUACCUAUGAAUUCCAUUAGCUAUGUUAUGUAAUAGACUUUCAACAUUAAACUUAUAUGCCCUCCAUGAGACGUAUUCACAGGAUUGUGUCAAAUAACCUAACCCCAAAAUUGAGAUACAUGCUAUCAACAGGAUUGUGUCAAAUAACCUAACCCCAAAAUUGAGAUACAUGCGGUCAACGUUUCAUUGAUUUUUAUUAUCUUUAUACAUGUUAGGACUACAUUUCGUAUCAUAUGUAGAUGUUGCUUUUGCUAUUUUUUACUUGUGUUACUCUUCACAUAACAAGCAGGUGUUACGUGCUAUAAAUGUAUUCCCUAUUGUCCUACUUAUAUAUAAGUUUUUUGUUGCUCCGUUUGUAGUUUCGUGUGAUUUGUCGUAAUUUCAUCUUAGCAACACUUUUGUUAAACUUAAAAAAUAUAUUGUCAUAUUCAGUUAAAUUUUAUCACCCUUACAAAAAAUGAACAUCGGCAUGAGCUCCACGGGGUCGUGCGCCAAGGCGCACAUCU